GAUUGCCUUAUCCCUUUGAAUUCUUGCCCACGCUAAUAAAUGAUGUAUCACUUGAUGCUGAAUAGCCUAUAGAUAAUACCCCCUGGUUUUAUCUUCUGCAGAACAUGAACAACCAACUAUAAAAACUGUUGAUAAGAGACCUUUACUGAGAUAUGGAUCAUAGCGUAAAGCCAUCUCUCCUCAAUGUAGGUUGGAUCCUACAUAUUUCUGCAUUGAAUAAUUGAUACAUCCAGAAGAGUACACUAUAAAUGACACCAAACCUGGAGAUGG
rnacentral:lncRNA from 1 species